rnacentral:misc_RNA from 1 species
GUAGGUGAGCCUGCGGAAGGAUCAUUACAGUAGUCAUCCGGGUUGCCGCGAGGCCUCCCGGGUAACCUACCACCCUUUGUUUAUUACACUUUGUUGCUUUGGCAGGCCUGCCCUCGGGCUGCUGGCUCCGGCCGGCGAGCGCCUGCCAGAGGACCUAAACUCUGUUUGUCUAUAUUGUCUGAGUACUAUAUAAUAGUUAAAACUUUCAACAACGGAUCUCUUGGUUCUG